rnacentral:snRNA from 1 species
GUUGCUUCUCAGCCCUUUGGCUAAGAUCAAGGGUAGUAUCUGUUCUCUUCAGUUUAAAAACAUCCUGAAACAUGCCAUACAUAUAUUUUGUGCCCAUCUUAU